GACGAACGCUGGCGGCAUGCCUAACACAUGCAAGUCGAGCGAGUUGAUCCCUUCGGGGUGAAGCUAGCGGCGGACGGGUGAGUAACACGUGGGCAACCUGCCUCAUAGAGGGGAAUAGCCUUCCGAAAGGAAGAUUAAUACCGCAUAAGAUUGUAGCUUCGCAUGAAGCAGCGAUUAAAGGAGCAAUCCGCUAUGAGAUGGGCCCGCGGCGCAUUAGCUAGUUGGUGAGGUAACGGCUCACCAAGGCGACGAUGCGUAGCCGACCUGAGAGGGUGAUCGGCCAAAUUGGGGCUGAGACACGGCCCAGACUCCUACGGGAGGCAGCAGUGGGGAAUAUUGCACAAUGGGGGAAACCCUGAUGCAGCAAUGCCGCGUGAGUGAUGACGGCCUUCGGGUUGUAGAGCUCUGUCUUCGGGGACGAUAAUGACGGUACCCGAGGAGGAAGCCACGGCUAACUACGUGCCAGCAGCCGCGGUAA
rnacentral:rRNA from 1 species